CCUACGGGGGGCAGCAGUCGAGAAUCAUUCACAAUGGGGGAAACCCUGAUGGUGCGACGCCGCGUGGGGGAAUGAAGGUCUUCGGAUUGUAAACCCCUGUCAUGUGGGAGCAAAUUAAAAAGAUAGUACCACAAGAGGAAGAGACGGCUAACUCUGUGCCAGCAGCCGCGGUAAUACAGAGGUCUCAAGCGUUGUUCGGAAUGACUGGGCGUAAAGCGUGCGUAGGCUGUUUCGUAAGUCGUGUGUGAAAGGCGCGAGCUCAACCCGCGGAAGGCACAUGAUACUGGGAGACUAGAGUAAAGGAGGGGGAACCGGAAUUCUAGGUGUAGCAGUGAAAUGCGUAGAUAUCGAGAGGAACACUCGUGGCGAAGGCGGGUUCCUGGACAUUAACUGACGCUGAGGCACGAAGGCCAGGGGAGCGAAAGGGAUUAGAUACCCCAGUAGUC
rnacentral:rRNA from 1 species